rnacentral:rRNA from 1 species
AGAGUUUGAUCAUGGCUCAGGAUGAACGCUAGCUACAGGCUUAACACAUGCAAGUCGAGGGGAAACGACAUCGAAAGCUUGCUUUUGAUGGGCGUCGACCGGCGCACGGGUGAGUAACGCGUAUCCAACCUGCCCACCACUUGGGGAUAACCUUGCGAAAGUAAGACUAAUACCCAAUGACGUCUCUAGAAGACAUCUGAAAGAGAUUAAAGAUUUAUCGGUGAUGGAUGGGGAUGCGUCUGAUUAGCUUGUUGGCGGGGUAACGCCACAAGGCUACGAUCGGUAGGGUUCUGAGAGGAAGGUCCCCCANAUUGGAACUGAGACACGGUCCAAACUCCGUACGGGAGCA